UACGGAGGAUCCGAGCGUUAUCCGGAUUUAUUGGGUUUAAAGGGUGCGCAGGUUGUUUGAUAAGUCAGUGGUGAAAGUCUGUCGCUUAACGGUAGGAUUGCCAUUGAUACUGUUGGACUUGAAUAUGGAUGAGGUAGGCGGAAUGUGUAGUGUAGCGGUGAAAUGCAUAGAUAUUACACAGAACACCGAUUGCGAAGGCAGCUUACUAAUCCAUCAUUGACGCUGAGGCACGAAAGCGUGGGGAGUCAAACAGGAUUA
rnacentral:rRNA from 1 species